AUGAGCACCUCCUCGUCCGCCUCUUCCGCCGGCGACUCCUCCGAUGACGAGCAGUUUGAUCUUCCCGUGGCCACUCAAACCCUUCCCACCAUUACGAUCAAAUCUCUCCGUAUCCGAGACCAUGUCCUCGUCAUUCUCGAUUACGAGAAGGAGAACUACGGCCUUUGGCGCCGCCAGUUUCUCGACGCCCUCGCCAAGUUCGGCCUCACCGACCACGUCGAUGGCUCGCCGGCGCAGGCCACCUCCGAUUGGGUCCUCAACGACUUCGCCAUCCUCUCCUGGUACAACGCCACCGUGACUCCGUCGACCUUGGAGAUCGUAGCGGAGCGCAAGGCCUCGGCCUACACCAUCUGGCGCUCGAUCCGCUCCCUCUUCCGCAGCAAUCGGGAUGCCCGGAUCACAUAUCUCCUGGAUGAGUUCCAUAGCUUCAUUCAAGGAGAGCUCUCGGUCGUGGACUACACCGCCAAGCUGAAGCAGAUGGCGGAUACACUUCGGGACCUCGGCCACCGCAUCAAGGAUCGCGAUCUCGUCCACAACGUCCUGCGCGGCCUCGACGAGCGCUUCCAGCACGCCGUCCCGCACAUGACCAGCGGUCGCCGGCCCUCCUUCAUCAAGCUGCGGGCCUUCCUCCAGUUGGAGGAGCAGCGCCUCGGCCGGCAGGCGCGCGUCGCCGCCCGCACCGCUCUGCUCGCCCAAGCCUCGGCGUACUACGCGGCUCGGCCUCCGACUCCUGCGCCUGUCCCCGCCUCCUUCACCCAGGCCCUGCUCGCCCCCAACACUCACGCCGUGGGCUCUUCUUCCGGCGGCGGCUCUUCAGGCCAUCGCAACAACCGACAGAAGAAAAGGAAGCAGAAUCCUUCCUCUGGCGCCAGCGGCUUCUCUUUAGGCGGGGGUCCCUCCGGUGGGUUUCCCGCGGGCGCGCGCCCUCCCACCACCGUGGCCGGCACCUUCCAGGGCAUCCUUGGAGCUCGCCCGCCCGCUCCGGCUGCGCCUCAGGCUCAUCACGCCACGACCGCGGCCACACCCUCACCACACUGGGACCAAGCCGCCCUCAUCGCUGCACUCAACCAGAUGGCUCUGCAUCCUCCUUCCGCGCCUGGUGGUGAAUGGGUCUUCGAUAGCGGCGCCUCGUCCCACAUGAGCUCCGGUUCCGUGUAUACGUGGACACCGGGACAUUUUUGUUCUGGGUCCGCCCCUGUUCUCUCGUCUGCAUCUGCGGCGGCCGAGGCGGCUGGCCGGCAAAGGGGUCACGGGAGAGAGGCCACGGCGCCCGCAGCGAUGGCAAUGGCGAGUGGGCCUUUCGUCAGGAAGGUGCUGCGGGAGGAGAUGGCUAAGGCGGACGGCCAGGGUGACAUUGGCCAGUCUAAGAGGACCAGCCCCGGCGGCCCAGAUCCGCAGCAUCAUUAG
rnacentral:rRNA from 1 species